GAUGAACGCUAGCGGCAGGCUUAAUACAUGCAAGUCGAGGGGCAGCGGGGGUAGCAAUACCUGCCGGCGACCGGCAAACGGGUGCGGAACACGUACACAACCUUCCUUUAAGUGGGGGAUAGCCCAGAGAAAUUUGGAUUAAUACCCCGUAAGAUUAUGAGAUGGCAUCAUUUUAUAAUUAAAGCUCCGGCGCUUAGAGAUGGGUGUGCGGCUGAUUAGGUAGUUGGUGUGGGUAACGGCCCACCAAGCCUUCGAUCAGUAACUGGUGUGAGAGCACGACCAGUCACACGGGCACUGAGACACGGGCCCGACUCCUACGGGAGGCAGCAGUACGAAGU
rnacentral:rRNA from 1 species